AUUGAACGCUGGCGGCAUGCUUUACACAUGCAAGUCGAACGGUAACAGGCCGCAAGGUGCUGACGAGUGGCGAACGGGUGAGUAAUGCAUCGGAACGUGCCCAGUCGUGGGGGAUAACGCAGCGAAAGCUGUGCUAAUACCGCAUACGAUCUAUGGAUGAAAGCGGGGGACCGUAAGGCCUCGCGCGAUUGGAGCGGCCGAUGUCAGAUUAGCUAGUUGGUGGGGUAAAGGCCCACCAAGGCGACGAUCUGUAGCUGGUCUGAGAGGACGACCAGCCAAACUGGGACUGGGACACGGCCCAGACUCCUACGGGAGGCAGCAGUGGGGAAUUCUGGACAAUGGGCGCAAGCCUGAUCCAGCAAUGCCGCGUGCAGGAAGAAGGCCUUCGGGUUGUAAACUGCUUUUGUACGGAACGAAACGGUCUGGGUUAAUACCCUGGGCUAAUGACGGUACCGUAAGAAUAAGCACCGGCUAACUACGUGCCAGCCGCCGCAGUAA
rnacentral:rRNA from 1 species